rnacentral:tRNA from 1 species
GCACCCUUAGCUCAAUUGGAUUAGAGUAGCGACCUUCUAAGUCGUCGGUUACAGGUUCGAAUCCUGUAGGGUGCA